CAUUGCCUGGCUGUAGGGCUGCUGUGAAUGACCUGGAGGCUUGCCUCAGGCCAAAACAAUGUGACGUGAGCUAAAGAUGACCAUAACCCCACAUUCCUAAAGUGCUGGCAAAUACCAUCCUUUGGCAGGCAGGUAGCAUUAAGUGUUGAUAGACCCAAAGGAAAACACAUUGAGAAAGUUAUGCCAGCCUGCCAAAAUUGCAGAACAUGAACAUUAUAAAGAGCUGGGUCCUGCCACAGAAGCCAAAGCAACAGCAGCUGCACUGGGAAUGAAAGGGAGCUGCCAGAUGAGCUGUACUGAUGAGGAGAAAGUUAAGGAGAAAAACAGAGCAAUUCUUUUGUAGCAAAGAACUAGAAAGACCGCAACAGGCCACUCAUCGUGCCUCACAAAGAUAGCAGGA